GAGUACGGCCGCAAGGCUGAAACUUAAAGGAAUUGGCAGGGGAGCACUACAACGGGUGGAGCCUGCGGUUUAAUUGGACUCAACGCCGGAAAACUCACCGGGGGCGACAGCAAUAUGUAGGUCAGGUUAAAGGUCUUACCUGAAUCGCUGAGAGGAGGUGCAUGGCCGUCGUCAGUUCGUACUGUGAAGCAUCCUGUUAAGUCAGGCAACGAGCAAGACCCGUGCCCACUGUUACCAGCAUAUCCUUUAUGGAUGAUGGGGACUCUGUGGGGACCGCUGCUGCUAAAGCAGAGGAAGGUGCGGGCUACGGUAGGUCAGUAUGCCCCGAAUCUCCCGGGCUACACGCGGGCUACAAUGGUUGGGACAAUGGGUAUCUACUCCGAAAGGAGUUGGCAAUCUCUUAAACCCAAUCGUAGUUCGAAUUGAGGGCUGUAACUCGCCCUCAUGAAGCUGGAAUCCGUAGUAAUCGCGUUUCAACAUAGCGCGGUGAAUCUGUCCCUGCUCCUUGCACACACCGCCCGUCAAACCAUCCGAGUGAGGUAUGGGUGAGGGCACGAACUUAGUGUCGUGCUCGAACCUAAAUUUCGCAAGGAGGGUUAAGUCGUAACAAGGUAGCCGUAGGGGAAUCUGCGGCUGGAUCACCUCCU
rnacentral:rRNA from 1 species